AUGUUAUGGCUCGAGCUCGGUCGCAACUUUCAAAAUCGACAUAGAAAACGUGUGCGUCUGAGGGGACGCUGGUUACUUUGCUUACAUGAACUUUUCGUCCAUCCAUCGGUUUAGUACGUGCUUCGCAUACCACCACAGGGGCGCGCACUGCGCAAAGGUUGUUGGCGCGCUGUUCACCGUGUUCACAUUGUUGUUCGUGUUCUCCGGCACCGUACGUGGUUUUGGUCAGCGCUCUCGCAACUGCCUGCCAAGUCUGUCACCUCGCACACAUCACAAUCAGACAUAAACAACGUGCUGAAGUGGCAGUCUGUGGAAAUGUCACUAGCUGGUUUGUGACACUUGUAAAUAAAUUUUGUGUAAAUAAAUUCAUCCAUGUUUUGUUAAA
rnacentral:lncRNA from 1 species